rnacentral:rRNA from 1 species
GUCCACGCCCUAAACUAUGUCAACUGGUUGUCGGGGAAGCAAUUCCUUGGUAACGAAGCUAACGCGUGAAGUUGACCGCCUGGGGAAUACGGCCGCAAGGUUAAAACUCAAAGGAAUUGACGGGGACCCGCACAAGCGGUGGAUUAUGUGGAUUAAUUCGAUGCAACGCGAAAAACCUUACCUACCCUUGACAUGUACGGAAGCCUCCAGAGAUGGAGGUGUGCCCGAAAGGGAACCGUAACACAGGUGCUGCAUGGCUGUCGU